AGCAAAUGAAACUUGAAUGUAUGAAUAUAUUACGCUUAAAAUGGUGGGUGUUGCUACCCAGAGUGCUCUGCGGCGUAAACGGAACCCUAUUGAACUAAAGUGGACCACGUGUGCAGACUCAGCUCCAGGAAGCAGAGCGGAUUUCGGAUCAGAGCCAGACGGUGAGUCGGUGUAGUUCUCCUUUCUUGCUCCUGAUUCUAAUUCUACGCUGCACAAAAAAACAUCGCUCUGCACCGCGGCCAUGGUGAGUCUGCGCUUGCUUUCCCAUCUUGUUGGGUAUCAUACACUGUGAUUUUAUCAGCCAUCACUACAAGCUGUGAACAAUUGAGGGUCUGCUUCUGGUUCCUACCACAUCCAAUUCAUGACACCAUGCGUGAAUACACUCCAAACAGCACUACGAAGACAUUGGCAGUCCACAAACAUAAGGAUCCAUGCCAUUGAGAGCCAAAACAGAACUGAACAGCAUGGAGUGAAAGGCAAUAAUUGCUCACCGGAAGGAGAAAGUUUGAAUAACUCCUCAAACACAAUUCCACCUGUGACAUGAGCGACCUUGGUUACAUUCCAUGACUGCCUAUCUCUUCUAACCUCACUGUAGCCUAAGACUAUCCACCUCACAAUGUGAUGUAACCUUCUGUUUGCCUAAAGUUACUACAUGAAAGCAGUGGGAAUUCAAACAAUCUGAGCUCAUGAGAACCACCAAUAGACCAAGCUGUUCUGAAAGCUGCACUAUCACCCUGACACUUAAUCCUUCUUGCAUUAACACUGCACCUUGCCCCCAACAGUUGCCCGGCUGCAAUGAAACUGCAGAAGAAAUGGGAAACUAUUCAGUUACAUUUCAUCUACAAAGAUGAAGAUGGAGUAAGGAAACCCAACUGCAAUAAAUUUCUCCUUCAGUCGAUAGUAACCAAUACCAGAGCCAACAACACUGCAACAGUUGUUGUCAACCUGCAAUAUGCAGGUGACACUUACAUAUGUACAAUGCACACAGGAUUGUCGCCAACUUGUUCAGUGAAGCAGUUAAGUAGACAUCUUCCGCAAAAGUACCGCCACUACUUAACAACAGGCCCCUGACCAUCAAGUUCGAUGAAAUGUCACUGGAAAAUGUGAUCUUCCUUCUAUUUCUUGGGAGCCACCUUGAAAGGGAAAGCAGGUAUUGAUGGUCGUCAGUUUCAGGACUAACACAGGCAUUGUGCACCUGAACAAAUGGCAGGAAAAGAGCAAGACGUUCAAACUUUGCCGAAGCUCAUGGUUUAAUGGGCAGCAGUGCUCCCUGUCCUGUGUACUGAGAUGUGUCUACUUACAGAGGGUGCCUGGAGGCAUUUCCAAUUCUGUCUUCACAACAUCAUCCAACUUCAUCAGCAUCGUAAGAGAAUCAAUGUUGGCAGCCUCUUCCAGGUGAAGUACAGCACCAAGGCACUCAUUUCACUCAUCCUGCUCCAAUGGAUAGACCUUAACUGCUAAUAUACAAACUUUGCUGCAAACUCCAUUGUCGUGAGAGAUUAACAAGAAAACAGAAGAAACCAUUCAGGAUUUAUUUUAAUUUAUUGAGAUACGGCAUUUGAGCCACACUGCCCGGCAAUCUCCUGAUGCAAUCCAAGGCUAAUCAUGGAAAAUUUACAAUGAGUAACCAGUACAUCUUUGGACUGUGGGAGGAAAUUGGAUGAAAACCACACAUACAAAUUCCUUACAAGCAGUGUUGGGAAUAUUCUCAGAGUGCAGUGAGGCUUUAGGCCCCCUGAUACACCUCUGCUCUGUUGGUGAACAGACUCGUGAGAGAAAAUCUUUUGCCUGUGAGUCUGCUGAUGCUGGAAAUCCUGAGCAACACACACAAAAUGCUGGAGGAACUCAGCAGGACAGGCAGCAUCUAUGGAGGGGGGGAAAAAGCUGUCAAUAUUUUGGGCCAAGAUCCUUCUGCAACCAAAGGUCAUCGUCUACAAACACCACCUGAGCCUCUGCCACAAGAACACAAAUACAGUAUGGGACAGGCUUUCUCUGCUCAAUGAGCUGUUCUAGCUGGGAAAAUGGGCUGAAAAAGGGCAGAUGGAAUUUCAUGCAGACAAGUGCGAGGCGUUGCAGUUUGGUAGGACAAACCAAGGGACCUUUUGAAAAUCCCGACCUUGAGUUUUCGCUGGCUUAGGCUCUUCGUCGGAAUGAGACUCAUUCUCAGAGUUUCAGGACUGGCUAUUGUUUGGCAUGCCAAGGGUUCGGCCUGAGAGUCCGGUUCGAAUUCAGAAGCCUAAGAUCUCAGGGCUUUGGAGACGGGUGGAUCAAGGGAUGGUAUCAUGGCAGGAGACCCGUGUGUCGUUGGGGGAAAUCGGAAAGUCUUCUGCUGUGUGCCCAAAGACCCAAGAUCUUCAUGAUCGUCAGGCACAGAACUCGAAAAAAGUGACAUAACGUACUUUUAACAUCGUAAGCCAGCAAGUUGUUUGUUAUGUCUCCCUGCUUGCUGGGAAAAUGGAAACACCUCCCUCUCCCUUAUUGGGGAGAGAGAGAACCUGUGGUAUGUCGAAUGCUGGUGUGAAAUGUGAAGUCUUUGGGGUAAUUGCAAGUCUGUGUCUUUGCUGGUGCUCAAGUGCACUUCUUGCUUUUCUUUUGCCAGUGGGGGAGGGGUUAUUGUUGCUCG